UACAGACCUGGUUGAGAUCACCAGCCACCC
rnacentral:piRNA from 1 species